rnacentral:rRNA from 1 species
GACGAACGCUGGCGGCGUGCUUAACACAUGCAAGUCGAACGGUGAAGCGCCUUCCUUUUUGGUGGGUGUGGAUGAGUGGCGAACGGGUGAGUAACACGUGAGUAACCUGCCCCCUUCUUCUGGAUAACCGCAUGAAAGUGUGGCUAAUACGGGAUAUUCUGGGUCUGUCGCAUGAUGGGUCUGGGAAAGAUAUUGUUUCGGUGGGGGAUGGGCUCGCGGCCUAUCAGCUUGUUGGUGGGGUGAUGGCCUACCAAGGCGGUGACGGGUAGCCGGCCUGAGAGGGUGGACGGUCACACUGGGACUGAGACACGGCCCAGACUCCUACGGGAGGCAGCAGUGGGGAAUAUUGCACAAUGGGCGCAAGCCUGAUGCAGCGACGCCGCGUGAGGGAUGGAGGCCUUCGGGUUGUGAACCUCUUUCGCCAGUGAAGCAGGCCUGCCUCGUUUGUGGGUGGGUUGACGGUAGCUGGAGAAGAAGCGCCGGCUAACUACGCG